rnacentral:rRNA from 1 species
CGGACGGGUGAGUAACGCGUGGAAAACCUGCCGUAUACUGGGGGAUAACACUUAGAAAUAGGUGCUAAUACCGCAUAAGCGCACAGCUUCGCAUGGAGUGGUGUGAAAAACUCUGGUGGUAUACGAUGGUUCCGCGUCUGAUUAACUUGUUGGUGGGGUAAUGGCUCACCAAGGCGACGAUCAGUAGCCGGCCUGAGAGGGUGAACGGCCACAUUGGGACUGAGACACGGCCCAAACUCCUACGGAAGGCAGCAG